rnacentral:rRNA from 1 species
GGGAAUUUUGCGCAAUGGGCGAAAGCCUGACGCAGCAACGCCGCGUGAGUGAUGAAGGCCCUCGGGUCGUAAAGCUCUGUCAGAGGGGAAGAACCUCCUGUCGGUUAAUACCCGGCAGGCCUGACGGUACCCUCAAAGGAAGCACCGGCUAACUCCGUGCCAGCAGCCGCGGUAAUACGUAGGGUGCAAGCGUUGUCCGGAUUUAUUGGGUUUAAAGGGUGCGUAGGCGGGCUAUUAAGUCAGUGGUGAACUCCAGCAGCUUAACUGUUGAUGUGCCAUUGAUACUGGUAGCCUUGAGUACAGAUGAGGUAGGCGGAAUUGACAGUGUAGCGGUGAAAUGCAUAGAUAUUGUCAAGAACUCCGAUAGCGAAGGCAGCUUACUGGGCUGUAACUGACGCUGAUGCACGAAAGUGUGGGGAUCAAA